GCCGGGAUGGCGGAAUUGGUAGACGCAGCGGACUCAAAAUCCGCCGGUGGUAACACUGUGGGGGUUCGAGUCCCCCUCCCGGCACCA
rnacentral:tRNA from 1 species